rnacentral:rRNA from 1 species
UAAACUGGAGAGUUUGAUCCUGGCUCAGAAUAAACGCUGGCGGCGUGCCUAACACAUGCAAGUCGAACGAGA